UACGUAGGGGGCAAGCGUUAUCCGGAUUUACUGGGUGUAAAGGGAGCGUAGACGGUUAUGCAAGUCUGGAGUGAAAGGCGGGGCUCAACCCCGGACUGCUCUGGAACUGUAGACUAGAGUGCAGGAGGGUAAGUGGAAUUCCUAGUGUAGCGGUGAAAUGCGUAGAUAUUAGGAGGAACACCAGUGGCGAAGGCGGCUUACUGGACUGUAACUGACGUUGAGGCUCGAAAGCGUGGGGAGCAAACAGG
rnacentral:rRNA from 1 species